AUUGAACGCUGGCGGCAUGCCUUACACAUGCAAGUCGAACGUGAAAGCGGGGCAACCCGCAAGUAGAGUGGCGGACGGGUGAGUAAUACAUCGGAACGUGUCCAGUAAUGGGGGAUAACCUAGCGAAAGUUAGGCUAAUACCGCAUACGAUCUGCGGAUGAAAGCGGGGGAUGCGGCACUAAAGGCUUUUGGCGAAGGUGGCCAAAGGUGAGUCAAGAGCUUUUAGUGCNGCACCUCGCGUUAUUGGAGCGGCUGAUGUCUGAUUAGCUAGUUGGUGAGGUAAAGGCUUACCAAGGCGACGAUCAGUAGCUGGUCUGAGAGGACGGCCAGCCACACUGGGACUGAGACACGGCCCAGACUCCUACGGGAGGCAGCAGUGGGGAAUUUUGGACAAGUGGGGCAACCCUGAUCCAGCCAUGCCGCGUGAGUGAAGAGGCC
rnacentral:rRNA from 1 species